UAAUACGUAGGUGGCAAGCGUUGUCCGGAUUUACUGGGCGUAAAGAGCGCGCAGGCGGUCGUGCAAGUCGCGUGUGAAAGCCCCCGGCUCAACUGGGGAGGGUCACGCGAUACUGCUCGACUCGAAGGCAGGAGAGGGAAGUGGAAUUCCCGGUGUAGUGGUGAAAUGCGUAGAUAUCGGGAGGAACACCAGUGGCGAAGGCGACUUCCUGGCCUGUUCUUGACGCUGAGGCGCGAAAGCUAGGGUAGCAAACGGG
rnacentral:rRNA from 1 species